rnacentral:rRNA from 1 species
CGAACGAGUUCUCGUUGAUGAUCGGUGCUUGCACCGAGAUUCAACAUCCAUCUGAGUGGCGGACGGGUGAGUAACACGUGGGUAACCUGCCCUUAAGUGGGGGAUAACAUUUGGAAACAGAUGCUAAUACCGCAUAGAUCCAAGAACCGCAUGGUUCUUGGCUGAAAGAUGGCGUAAGCUAUCGCUUUUGGAUGGACCCGCGGCGUAUUAGCUAGUUGGUGAGGUAAUGGCUCACCAAGGCGAUGAUACGUAGCCGAACUGAGAGGUUGAUCGGCCACAUUGGGACUGAGACACGGCCCAAACUCCUACGGGAGGCAGCAGUAGGGAAUCUUCCACAAUGGACGCAAGUCUGAUGGAGCAACGCCGCGUGAGUGAAGAAGGCUUUCGGGUCGUAAAACUCUGUUGUUGGAGAAGAAUGGUCGGCAGAGUAACUGUUGUCGGCGUGACGGUAUCCAACCAGAAAGCCACGGCUAACUACGUGCCAGCAGCCGCGGUAAUACGUAGGUGGCAAGCGUUAUCCGGAUUUAUUGGGCGUAAAGCGAGCGCAGGCGGUUUUUUAAGUCUGAUGUGAAAGCCCUCGGCUUAACCGAGGAAGCGCAUCGGAAACUGGGAAACUUGAGUGCAGAAGAGGACAGUGGAACUCCAUGUGUAGCGGUGAAAUGCGUAGAUAUAUGGAAGAACACCAGUGGCGAAGGCGGCUGUCUGGUCUGUAACUGACGCUGAGGCUCGAAAGCAUGGGUAGCGAACAGGAUUAGA